AAUUUUGGACAAUGGGGGAAACCCUGAUCCAGCCAUCCCGCGUGUAUGAUGAAGGCCUUCGGGUUGUAAAGCACUUUAAGUUGGGAGGAAGGGUUGUAGAUUAUUACUCUGCAAUUUUGACGUUACCAACAGAAUAAGCACCGGAUAACUUCGUGCCAGCAGCCGCGGUAAUACGAAGGGUGCAAGCGUUAAUCGGAAUUACUGGUCGUAAAGCGCGCGUAGGUGGUUCAGUAAGAUGGGUGUGAAAUCCCCGGGCUUAACCUGGGAACUGCUUUCAUAACUGCUGUGCUAGAGUACGGUAGAGGGUAGUGGAAUUUCCUGUGUAGCGGUGAAAUGCGUAGAUAUAGGAAGGAACACCAGUGGCGAAGGCGACUACCUGGACUGAUACUGACACUGAGGUGCGAAAGCGUGGGGAGCAAAC
rnacentral:rRNA from 1 species